AUGAUUACCCUGCAGACUUAUGAAAUAUCUCCAGUAGAUGUGAGAAUGAGAAUGUGCUCAGCGGUCUCCAGCAGUGAGAAAGAAAAUGAUAUCCUUGGAGACCUUGCCUCUAUUACCGGUGCAAGUGCUGAAAGAACUGAGGAAAAGGAAGCAGCAGGCAGUGCUGAAAGAAAAAUGAGCUUCCUGAGCCCAUGGUCCAGGAGGUCAGCAGUGUAUCUCUCACCUUUGAGCAGCUUCAGAAUGGCAUCCCAACAGAGCCCUGUCACUGAGCCACUUCUCUCUGAGAUUUAAGAUCAAAAGAGUCAAGUAUCCAGGUCCCUGCAGAUUUAAGCACCAACCUCUCAGCAAAU
rnacentral:lncRNA from 1 species